AGGGGUCAAGUACAGCCAGCCCAGCCGAAUGUGGAGAGGAAUUUCUUGUGCCUAGUCUCUUAGCUCUGUACCACAAUCUCAGAGGAGGCCAGCAAGGGUCCAGGAGAUAAAGGAGCUCCUUAAGCAAGCCAAUAAAGGGCAACUGUCAACUUGCUCCUUCUGGAAAUCCCUCUCCUGACUACCACUUCCACCUUACUGAAAAUCCUCAACACCUACUUCAUCUCUGAAGCCACCUUUAAAGAAAACAAGAAGUCAACUCCAGAUAGAUAGUCAAAGAAUUCAGAAUAAAACAUUGUUUAACUUUCAUAAAGCACAGAGGAAAGCAGAAUCCCAGAUGCUGCUAGAACCGUGUAUGAUGGCUAAUAAAUGGAAUUGGCCAUCAGAAACGAGAUGGCUAAACACAAUUAUUUUUUUUAAAUCUUUUGUUUAACAAUAAUAAAAAGGAAAUAAAACAAA
rnacentral:lncRNA from 1 species